AUUGAACGCUGGCGGCAUGCCUUACACAUGCAAGUCGAACGGCAGCACGGGUGCUUGCACCUGGUGGCGAGUGGCGAACGGGUGAGUAAUAUAUCGGAACGUACCUUAUUGUGGGGGAUAACGCAGCGAAAGCUGUGCUAAUACCGCAUAAUCCCUAAGGGGGAAAGCGGGGGACCGUAAGGCCUCGCGCAAUUAGAGCGGCCGAUACCUGAUUAGCUAGUUGGUGAGGUAAAGGCUCACCAAGGCAACGAUCAGGAGCUGGUCUGAGAGGACGAUCAGACACACUGGGACUGCGACACGGCCCAGACUCCUACGGGAGGCAGCAGUGGGGAAUUUUGGACAAUGGGGGCAAACCUGAUCCAGCAAUGCCGCGUGAGUGAAGAAGGCCUUCGGGUUGUAAAGCUCUUUUGUCAGUGAAGAAACAGCAGCUCUAACACAGUAUGCGAAUGACGGUACCUGAAGAAUAAGCACCGGCUAACUACGUGCCAGCCGCCGCAGUAA
rnacentral:rRNA from 1 species